rnacentral:piRNA from 1 species
UGGCAAGUCCUCAGAUUGUGUUCUAACA